rnacentral:rRNA from 1 species
AGCGGGAAGAGCUCAAAUUUUGAAUCUGGCGGCCUUCGGUCCGUCCGAGUUGUAAUCUAGAGAAGCGUCUUCCGCGCUGGACCGUGUAUAAGUCUCCUGGAAGGGAGCGUCGUAGAGGGUGAGAAUCCCGUCUUUGACACGGACUGCCAGUGCUAUGUGAUGCGCUCUCGACGAGUCGAGUUGUUUGGGAAUGCAGCUCAAAACGGGUGGUAAAUUCCAUCUAAAGCUAAAUACAGGCGAGAGACCGAUAGCGAACAAGUACCGUGAGGGAAAGAUGAAAAGAACUUUGGAAAGAGAGUUAAACAGUACGUGAAAUUGCUGAAAGGGAAACGCUUGAUGUCAGUCGCGUCGCCCGGGGAUCAACCUUGCUUCUCGCUGGGUGUACUUCCCGGUCGACGGGUCAGCAUCAGUUUCGGUCGCCGUACAAGGGUGAGGGGAACGUGGCACCCUUCGGGGUGUGUUAUAGCCUCUCGUCGUAUGCGGCGGUCAGGACUGAGGAACUCGGCACGGCUUCACGCUUGUGCUUAGGAUGCUGGCAUAAUGGCCUUAAGCGACCCGUCUUGA